GUGCGCGCGCGCAGUGUUGCUUUGGAAUUCAUUUUCUGUCGCCUCUGUUGCCGCCGCGGCUAAAACAGGGUGGCAACUCAGCGGCGCAACAACCAAAAAACAUCCGUCGCGCGCAUUGAAAUCAUUGUGAUUGCCACUAAAUAAAAUGGUGCACCUAUUAGUACAUAACAACCGGCAGCAGUUACUUGUACUCCCCAUUGCUCACCGCAUGCAAAUCGCCUCAAAAUGGCGCUUAGAAUUUGGAUAAGAAACGAACAAUGGCAAGGCUUACGUAAGUGCAAAAAGCAAUAACAAAACGUUGGAAGGAGAGAGGAAACAAGUCUGCGAGAAAACAGGGUGUUUUUUCUUCUAUAACCAUGUGGCCUGUAGUUAGAUCCCACCAUAUAAACAAGAUACCCUGUUUCAAUCAAAGAGAGCGCCUGAGAGAGCAAACACAACCAGUACACAAAAAGCAACAGAACACUGGAGGAAGACAGGGUGUUUAUUUGUUACUUAUCCAUGUGGCUAACAAGAAGUCAGACUAUAUCAGCGAAACACCCUGUUGCCGCAAAAGAGAGAGAAACGCACUCACACCAACGCGCCGACCCCGUGUAUACAGUGGAAAGCGACGUCGGCAGAGCGGAUUCAGCCGACUAUUGCAGUACAUAAUGAAAUCGACGAAACCGAAAAUCAGAAACCAAACGGACCACUAGCGAGCUACAACUCUGCCACGGCUACACUUUACACACUCAUGUACUCCUCCACCUCGCUCACCAGCCCACACACACACCCACAAAGGGGUGCGUGCGGUGAGAGGCAGGCAGGAAAAAGUAAAAAAGCAAAGUGCAUCUCACCAUGACAAUGGCGGAACCAUAAAAACACAUGUUCCCAUCUUGAAUCGAAGCGAAUUCGGCGGCCCACCUCCUUCGAAAAAAACAGGCGAAAAAUAUCUGUAUACGCGAAAAAGUUGAGCUGCUAAAAAUGCGACAUGGAAACCUUGCACUUAUCGAUUCGCCUCGCUCAUUGCGCAAUGAAAAAUGCAGCGGGGGUGGCGAGAGAGAGCCUCUCUUUCUCUUUGAGGCACCUGCAGCGAUAGGAAAUGCAAAUCCGCCUUCCACUUUCCAGCUCAAAAGUUCAAAGUUCACGUGCAACCAAAUACUGGGUGCAGCGCAUGCACCGAAAUCCCCGGACCGAAAAAAAGGGGCAAACAAAAACUCUCCGACUUCCAGGCGCCGCAGGAAGUUUCAGAUUGCUUGUCUUGGAAUACUGCAAAAAUAAAUGGAUACAACACAUAUUAUAUGUGGUUCCUGUUACAACGAUCGAGCUUUAUAUAAUGUCAAUUAAUUGGAUAUUCAUACGUGGUCAGCAAACUAUCAGAUUUAGGUUUUCGCCUGCGUCGCCUGAUUUAUAAAGUGAUGAAUUCCUUUUAGAAAUUAAUGUUUCAAUGUCCGGACAUUAAAAUAGGUAAAAGUUGUAUACAUUUGUGUGUAUUGUUUACAUUAUAAAAUUGUAUUCAUUUUUAAUUUAAUA